AAACAUAAGGACAUAGGAGAGCAAUACAAGGAGAUCACUUUUAAGAUAGAAAAGGGUAAUUUCAUUACUAAAGUAUGAAGAAAAUGACCAUCCACUCAUCCAUUAGAGCUACAUUAACCCAAUAAUCUUUUAUAAAGGAAUAUAGCAUUAUCUGAGUUGAUUCAGGAUAGGAAUAAGGGGAGGUUUAAUAUACAAUAUUGGGAACUUGUUGGUAACAAUAUACAAAAAAAAAGGAGGCUGAAACCAAACCCUCGUAAGUCUCCUCUUGAAAUGUCGGAUAUUCUCUUUCCUUUUGCCUUAGUAAUAUAGAAAAAAGGUCUUUCUCUUCACUAUUAUGAUUGUGGAGACUAACGGUUUAUUUCUCUCCUAGCAAUGCCAAUCCAAAAGUAUCAACAUCCUAGGCUUAAAUCAGAUAUAUUUGGUAGCCUUUUCUCAGUGCUCCCUUCUUGGAAUAUUUUAUUGAAACAGAACAACCUCAUGAGCCUUAAACCCCAUGCCAAACAAAGAGGUACCAAAAAGCCAAACAAUCCCUUUUCCUUUUCUUUUCUAAACAAGACAAUAAUAAACAACCAGCCCUUGUUAGAUCCUGUAGGUGCACACUAAAAGUUCUCAUCAGGAUCACAGGAUGCUAACUUGGCAACCCACCGCCUGACGACACUCGGUAUCACGCCGAUUAAUUCCUUUGAGUCGUAAGAGGGGACCUUUUCAUGUACACGAGAGGAGGGGCAGCUUUACGGCUUUAACGGUAGAUGUAGAUGGUUCAUCUUAACAUCAAUACCCAAGUAAAUAGUUCCGCUGUAAUUUUAUUUUUUUUUUGGUAAAUCGGCAUCUCACUAUAUAUUGCAAGUAUACUCUGAGGCAUCAAAAUACAAAAUACGGGCUAGGCCCUGCAGAAUGAGGGUGUCGCCCUCCCAUAAAGAGGUCCCGGUAUGAUGUGUUGCAAAAGAAGCGACCCAGUCCGCCAUACUGUUCGCCUCGCAUAAUAUAUGUGUGACUCCAAAUGAGUCGAGGUCCUCCAAGAGGUAACCAAUAUCCCAGACAAGUGGGCGUAGUUCUAACCUAGUACCACUCCUGAUCCAAUCAACUACUGUAGUCGAAUCACCCUCCAACCACUGUAACAUGGCGAACAACUUUACAGGUAACUUCCUAGCAGGACUCUCAGAUCUCUGAUAGCACAACAACAGAGAACUCUAGAUAGGCCGAGAGUGAGAAAAUCAAUAGAGAUAAAAGUUAAUAAAUCAACACUGAAAAGGACACAAUCAGCUUUGGUUUCAUGGAACCUCUAAUCUCCUAUUGGGUUCUGAAAAUUCCAAACGGAACUCUGAGCAAUGCAAAUAGAAGUAAACAGGAGAAAGAGAAAAAGUGACAAAAAAAAAAAA